UAUUUUUCUAUAUUAAGGCUACAUUUGGCUGGAGAAUUAAAUUUUGUAGAACAAUUUUUGUUGUUUUCGAGAACAGAGGAUAUUUCGCUAUAAAGUAGAGCAAGUUGUAAAUUACGUUUGAAUGUUGUUUGUUUAUUCCUAGAAAAUAUUCUUGAUAGUGUUUGGAUGUUUAUAUUAGAAUAAAGGGUUGGAAAGGUAAAAAUUAAAUAAAAUAACAAAUUUGCCCUUAAAUAUAAUAAUCAAAUAUGAUUUAAUAAAUUAAGUAUUAAAAUAAAUUAAUUUACAAAUUAAGUAUAUUUGUAUAUUAUUUUGAAAAUAUUAAUUUAGUAGUAUUCAAUUUAAAUAUUUAUUUAUUUUUUUUCGAAACUAAUUUAAAAUAUAAAUAUCUAAAAUGGAAUAGCACUUAUUAAAUUAAAUUAAUCAUUCAAUCGAUUUCUUUUAAUUUACUAAAUUAAAUAUUAAUAAGUCAAAAUAGUGCGGCUCUUAUAAAUAAAAGAAAUUUCAAAAAAAAAAAUCCCU
rnacentral:lncRNA from 1 species